ACCAAAAACUUACUGUUGUUGCUAUGACAUUUUUAACCUAAUUAGGGUAUUUAUAGACACACGAAUUGGGAAAGUUAUACAGAUUAUGGAUCCUGACAGGAAACUUGAGAUGGGAGAGUAGCAAUGUUCACACUUUCUCCAGGGCGCACUGAACAUAGCCCAUUAUGUAUGCAUUUUACCUUUUAAUGAAGUAACUGUAUACUGAUUUGUUUCAUUUUAUUUUUUUAAUUUGACAUGGAAAAAAGAGAAAUGGGGAAUUCCUACUUACCUGCAUAGAGACACACACAUGCCUGUGCUCAUAUUUGAAGAAGCCAAGGGAUUGAAGGAAGCCCCAUCUAGAGGACGAAUGGACUGACAGUAGGAAUUUCAGAGCUGUGGUCAGAAGAUCAUUGGUGCUUGUCGUGUUGCAAACCUAAGAAGGUGAAGGAAGCUGUCAAGCUGAAGGGAGGCUUUUGAGGCUUGGUUGCCCCAGGGGUCCGGAAGGCCAGAAGGGCUGCAGUGUCUCUGAAGCAAUAACCUGUGUGUGAGGAGUUCGGGGAGUACUUUUGGAUGGCCUCAAGUAGUGCUGGGCGAUUUGGGUAAAAAAUUAAAUAGAUAUUUAUAUUUCCUUUUUAAAACCUUGCUUUUUACCAAUACCUUGGCGCAAACUCGCACUUUCUGCAUGUUCCAACGAGUGAUUUUUCUUCAGGUGGUAAAAAGGUUUUGUCGUAUUACCAGGCUCGGUAGCCACCUGUUUACGACACAAUUUGCACCGAACAUUGCUCAGCUCUUUGUUGGAUUUAAUUUUGUUUGUGUCUAUUCCAAUAUGUAAUGAUGGUAUUCAAUGACACAAGUCUGUGUUCUAGAAAGAGUGGUCUGGAGUCGCAGAGGUCCGAUAAUAUCAGCUUUAAUGCAGCAGUUGGAAAUCAACAAGUACAGAGCUCUGGGGUUGUCUACGUUUCCCUACCCACAACAGAGUUUGGGCUGGUUCACGAAGUCCAACUGCCUAUCUUUCCCUCCCCAGCAUAUAUUUAUACAGUGCAAUUGAAACACAAAGAUGAAAAGAGGGUUGAGCUUGUUCUCUCGUGCAUCAGGGAGUUGUUCUUGCCUACGCGUCCCACCUGCUCGGGUGCCAUCUCCACCCGGUUUCAAGGUUGUUUCUGAAAAUGAAGAGAUAGACACAAAGAACAGCCUGCUUCCCACACCCAGUGUGAGACCCAAUGUUUAA